rnacentral:rRNA from 1 species
GUCUAUGGCCACACUGCUAUGAAGGCACCAGAUGUCAUCUGAUCUCGGAAGCUAAGCCGGGUCGGGCUCUGUCAGUACUUAAAUGGGAGACCACCCGGGAAUACCAUGUGCCACAGGUU